CAGCAUGUUUCCAAGGGCUGUGGCUGGUUGUAGCCAUGGUUCUCCAACUGCAUGGGAGAGCAACCUGGAGAAACUGACAGCUUAGGUCAAUGUCACAACUCAAGGCAGCUGCCACUCGCCUUUCCUGUAAUU